rnacentral:misc_RNA from 1 species
AACGCACAUUGCGCUCUCUGGUAUUCCGGAGAGCAUGCUUGUUUGAGUAUCAGUAAAACACCCUCAGUUCCCCUCUCUCUCGUUUCGACGGGAGAAAGGGGAGUUGGACUUGAGUGAUCCCAACGGCAGUGAUUUUUGGAACGCUGCUGGCGGGUCGCUUGAAAUGCAGGUGCGGCUGGACACAUCUUCUGAGCUAUAAGCAUUACUUAUUUAGUCCCGUUAAACGGAUUAUAUCUUAUUGCUGCAGCUAAUAUAAAGGUCGAUUGUCUUUGUGCCCGACUGAUGCAGGAAGACAAAGGGGGAUGAAAGUCUCUUUUUGUUCAACUCGAUCUCAAAUCAAGCAAGACUACCCGCUGAACUUAA